rnacentral:rRNA from 1 species
UCAACCUCAAAUCAGGUAGGAUUACCCGCUGAACUUAAGCAUAUCA